AUGGCCUGGGCCCGGCUCCUCACACUAUUCACAGGCUCCAGUUCCCAGCAGCUGCAGUCACUGAAGCCGUCAGAGCAAGUGUCUCCUGGAGGGACUGUGACCAUCGCGUGCAGCCUGAGCAGUGAAGCCAUCACUGGUAACAGCUACCCAUACUGGGUGCAACAGAAACUGGGCCGUGCUCCUCGGCUGCUGAUGCUCCUCGGCACCAGCUCAUCAUUGAUCCAGCUCAGCUUGCUAAUGUCUGACUUCCACGGAUGCUCCUCUGGUAAGUACAUCGACUCCUCUGAGUCAGCCCUGGUGAAGAGCCUUUCAACUUUAGGCUUCUACUACUCAUCCCUGCCGGGGCAUUCUACUUUCCCGCGCUGCUCCGGGUGA